rnacentral:rRNA from 1 species
CCUACGGGGGGCUGCAGUCGAGAAUCAUUCACAAUGGGGGAAACCCUGAUGGUGCGACGCCGCGUGGGGGAAUGAAGGUCUUCGGAUUGUAAACUCCUGUCAUGUGGGAGCAAAUUAAAAAGAUAGUACCACAAGAGGAAGAGACGGCUAACUCUGUGCCAGCAGCCGCGGUAAUACAGAGGUCUCAAGCGUUGUUCGGAAUCACUGGGCGUAAAGGGUGCGUAGGCUGUUGCGUAAGUCGUGUGUGAAAGGCGCGGGCUCAACCCGCGGACGGCACAUGAUACUGCGAGGCUGGAGUGAGGGAGGGGGAACCGGAAUUCUCGGUGUAGCAGUGAAAUGCGUAGAUAUCGAGAGGAACACUCGUGGCGAAGGCGGGUUCCUGGACAUUAACUGACGCUGAGGCACGAAGGCCAGGGGAGCGAAAGGGAUUAGAUACCCCUGUAGUC